GGAUUGUGGCUCAGAGGUAGAGCGCUCGCCUAGUAUGGGCGGGACCCAGGUUCGGGCGGGACCCGGGUUCGAUCCUCAGCACCA
rnacentral:tRNA from 1 species